rnacentral:lncRNA from 1 species
UAAACCAAAACAAAAAUAACACUUAGCUCUUCAACUUUCCCAGCAAACAAACUUCUCAAACACAAUAAUGAGAAAUUACAACAAACAGAUUACAACUACCCUUAAAAACAAACUUAAAUACAAGUAAACUAAAACAAAAAUUACAUUUAACUCUUCAACUUUCCCAGCAAACAAACAUCUAAAAUACAAAAACGAUUGACUACAACAAACAAAUUACGACUGCCCUUACAAACUGAUAAGGAAAAAGAGUAAACUCCAAGUAUCUGCCCAUAAGCAAAUAUGUCGGUUCUAACAUUUGCAUGAGUUGAAAUGACCAUAAAUUGAAAAAGUUUAUCAUUAUUUCUCUAUGUGUACAUUAACAUGGCAAUGCUUGAGGCUGUUUUCAAUAUUGUGCAGAGGACAACAAAAUUGUUCUUUUUUUAUGUAUGUUCUUCUUUAUUUUGUCGCUUUUUUUUUCUAAUUUAAAGUUUUGAUAUCCAUUGUUCCAUGCCAAGCGGUGCAUAUGUUACAUUUAAUUGCUAUUGGUUCUCUUAUGAUUUGAAUUACAAGGUAAAAGAGUCUUGACCGUACAUAAAUUGAUAUACUCACUUUUGUUAAUUUGUUGUAGAUUUCAAACGUCAAAAAUCACGUAAAUAAAUACGUAUUCAAUAUUAUUUUUCGUCUUUAACUAGUUAAGAUUUUCUUUCUUUGUCAUUAUGAAGAUCUUUAGGCAAAAAGUUAAAGAGAGUCCAAUUAUAUAUUAUUUCUGUUUUGUUCUCUUUUGUGGGUAACACUGCUGGAGAAAUGUUGGGUUCUGAGAUAAUCGCGCAAUAAAAGGUUUAUUUUCGUUUGUUUGUGACAUAUAUUUUAUUUUUUAUUAUAUUUAUAUUUUUUUCUAUUUAAGGUUAUUUACUUAACAAUAUUCUUUUUGUUUACUUUAAUAGACGACUACUGAAGGUUAUUAUCAAUCUUAUGGAACACUUUUAAGGUAAAUAAGCGUGUAUUUUAUGUUUUUAGGUAGCUAAAAUUUUCAUACUUUGUUAGUGUGUAACUCUUUAGGCAAAAAGUUUAAAAUGGCCCAGGCGUGUCACUUGUGUUUUGUUUUCUUUUGUUGAUAACACUCUUUUAAACGUGGAUUAUGAGGCAUCCGGUGAAUAAAAGGUUUGUCUUCCUUCUUUUAUCAUAUUUUUCUGUUUUAUUUUAUUUUUUUAUUAGCUUAAUUUUUUUUAAAAAAAUUUUGAUGGAGUUGAAGAGAGUUACAAUGCUAACUAUUUGCACAUCAUCUAUCACAUUAAAUUUUAAAAAGUUUCCAGACGAAGCUCAACAAGGAGAUCUACUGCAUGACCAUUUUAGUAGAAAAGAAGAUCUGUGGUUCGAUUUGAUAGCAAAUACUGGUGAUGGCGGGAACUCGUCUUCAUCUGUUGCAGUAGCAUAAUGUCAGCAGUCUCUUUUGAUUCUUCAGUGUUUCCAAUGAGAUUGCAUUUACUGAAAUGGUACUCAGGAUAUUGGAGCUGGUCUAUACAGUGGUUAGAUACUAAGAGCUGCUGUGUUUUGUGAGGUAUCUCUUUCUUCUUGUCUUUCACAUUAUAUUUCUUGAGUUUUGGUAUGCUUGUUUUAUUUCUCGCGUCACUGGCAAGAGGACGGAGGUCCUGACCAUUCUUCAAAAUUGUGCUGUAAGUGAUGAAAAUUCAAAUUUCUAUUUUAAUGAUUUUGCAUAUUUACUGGUUGUAGCAAAUCUGCGAAUACCUGCUCUCUUGCUUACGCUGGCAGGUACUCUGUACAGCUUGUUGCAUGUUUUACGGUCUAUGAGCGACAAAAAGAGGGAGAGUAGGUACGAAGAAGAGAACCAGAGCGGUAGAGGAAGAGAGUGCGUAUGAAAUUUUACCUCAUUAUUUAUUAUCUGAUUCGUCAACUAUUUCUAUUGUUUUACUAACUAAUCAAGCAAUAAUUUUUAAUUUAUGCUACCAUAACUUAGUCGAAUGAUAGAUUUGAAACCUAAAAACCUACGUCACGCUAGAUCGAUAUGAAAAAAACAAAACAAACAAAUUAUGAUUAGAAACUGAAAUUCGAAUAAAAAUGCAAACAAACUCAAAUACAAUUAUAAAUCCAAGUAUAGUAAAAGAAAAAUUCAAUUGAUUUUUUUUUUGCAAUUCCAAACAUAUGAAACAAACAACUAACUCGAGUGAAAUUACAACAAACUAAAACAACAAAUUUCAACAACAACUACGUGCUGAAAUUCUAAUAUAAUUACAAAUUCAAGUAAACCAAAACAAAAAUAACACUUAGCUCUUUAACUUUCCCAGCAAACAAACAUCUCAAACACAAACACAAUAACGAGAAACUACAAUAAACAAAUUACAACUACCCUUAAAAAUAAACUCAAAUACAAGAAAAUCAAAACAAAAAUUAAAUUUAACUCUUCAAUUUUCCCAGCAAAUAAACAUCUAAAACACAAAAACGACAAACUACAACAAAUAAAUUACGACUACCCUUACAAACUAAUAAGGGAAAAGAGUAAAUCCUAAGUAUCUGCCCAUAAACAAGUAUGUUGGUUCUAACAUUUGCAUGAGUUGAAAUGACCAUAAAUUGAAAAAGUUUAGCAUUAUUUCUUUGUGUACAUUAACAUGGCAAUGCUUGAGGCUGUUUUCAAUAUUGUGCAAAGGACAACAAAAUUGUUCUCUUUAUGUGUCUGUUUUUCUUGAUUUUGUUGCUUUUUUUUCUAAUUUAAAUUUUUUAUAUCCGUUGUUCUAUGCCAAGCUGUGCAUAUGUUACAUUUAACUGCUCUUGGUUCUCUUCUGAUUUGAAUUACAACGUAAAAGAGUCUUGACCGUAUAUAAAUUGAUAUACUCACUUUUGUUUAUUUGUUGUAGAUUUCAAACGUCAAAAAUAAGGUAAAUAAACACGUAUUCAAUAUUAUCUUUUGUCUUUAAUUAGUUAAAAUUUUCUUUCUUUGUUAUUAUGAAGAUCUUUAGGCAAAAAGUUAAAGAGAGUCCAAUUAUAUAUGAUUUCUGUUUUGUU